UACGGAGGGUGCAAGCGUUAUCCGGAUUUAUUGGGCUUAAAGGGUGCGUAGGUGGGAUAAUAAGUCAGAGGUGAAAGCUAGCAGCUUAACUGUUAAAUUGCCUUUGAUACUGUUAUUCUUGAGUAUAGUUGGCGUUGGCGGAAUGUGACAUGUAGCGGUGAAAUGCGUAGAUAUGUCACAGAACACCGAUCGCGAAGGCAGCUAACGAAACUAUCACUGACACUGAUGCACGAAAGCGUGGGGAGCGAACAGG
rnacentral:rRNA from 1 species